UUGCAGCGUGGUAUUAUGAAAAGAAAAAGGAGGAAGUAUAUAAAUUUAAAAAUAAAAACAAGGGAAAAAAACAAAUUUGAUUGUUUGAAAAGAUUAAUUUUGUGAUUGAUAAUAACAUAGCAUAGGAGUAGGAGACCGAGCUUGACGCGUAGAUCACGAGGCUUGGAGGUGAAGUCGGAAUGUGGGGUUGUUUUGACUCUUCUUCCAUUUGAACUUUACAACUUUGCCAACUUGUUUGUGAGUGGCGUCUUACAUGAGUUAUUAUUGACUAAACCAAUGGUCCUUCCUGGGAAUCUUCUAAAGCCGGUUGACAAGUUCUUAGAAGCGGAAUUAAUUGUUUAGGAAUUCUACUAGUG
rnacentral:lncRNA from 1 species